CCUACGGGUGGCAGCAGUGAGGAAUAUUGGUCAAUGGACGAGAGUCUGAACCAGCCAAGUAGCGUGAAGGAUGACUGCCCUAUGGGUUGUAAACUUCUUUUAUAUGGGAAUAAAAUGUUCCACGUGUGGGAUUUUGUAUGUACCAUAUGAAUAAGGAUCGGCUAACUCCGUGCCAGCAGCCGCGGUAAUACGGAGGAUCCGAGCGUUAUCCGGAUUUAUUGGGUUUAAAGGGAGCGUAGGUGGAUUGUUAAGUCAGGUGUGAAAGUUUGCGGCUCAACCGUAAAAUUGCAGUUGAAACUGGCAGUCUUGAGUACAGUAGAGGUGGGCGGAAUUCGUGGUGUAGCGGUGAAAUGCUGAGAUAUCACGAAGAACUCCGAUUGCGAAGGCAGUUCACUGGACUGCAACUGACACUGAGGCUCGAAAGUGUGGGUAUCAAACAGGAUUAGAUACCCCUGUAGUC
rnacentral:rRNA from 1 species